rnacentral:rRNA from 14 species
CAUUUGCUUGAAUUUAAGAUUAAGCCAUGCAUGUGAAAGUUAAUAUGAAAGAGAAGCCGCGAAUAGCUCAUUAAACCACACACAAUCUAUCGAGAUAAUAUGGGGAUAUCUGAGGUAAUUCUUUAGCUAAUACACGCAACAAAGCUCCGAUAUAGGAGUAGGGUUUAUCAGCAAAGAAUCAAACUAGCGUGAGCUAGUUACCGAGGACUCAAAUAAUCAAUCUGAAUAAGCCAUGGGCUUAUACAUAGGAUGAAAGUGUGACUUAUCAACUGUCAACCGUGGUAUAUUUGACCACGGUGGUAUUGACGAGUAACAGAGAAUUUGGGUUCGAUUCUGGAGAGGGAGCUUUAAAGAUAGCUACCACAUCUAAGGAAGGCAGCAGGCACGCAAAUUACCCAAUUGUCGAUGACAGAGGUAGUAAUAAUAAAUAACAAUACAGGACUCGUCCGAGGCCUUGUAAUUGGAAUGUUUUUAAGAUAAAGACAUGAAGGAGGAACUAUUAGAGGGCAAGUCUGGUGCCAGCAGC